UACCAGCACCCCGAGUGGUCGGGACGAUUAUUGGGCCUAAAGCAUCCGUAGCCGGUUCUGCAAGUCCCCCGUUAAAUCCAGCUGCUCAACAGAUGGGCCGCGGAGGAUACUCCAGAGCUAGGAGGCAGGAGAGGCAAGCGGUACUCAGUGGGUAGGGGGUAAAAAUCCGUUGAUCCAUUGAAGACCACCAGUGGCGAAGGCGGCUUGCCAGAAUGCGCUCGACGGUGAGGGAUGAAAGCUGGGGGGAGCAAACCGG
rnacentral:rRNA from 1 species